CACCUACGGGAGGCUGCAGUGGGGAAUUUUGGACAAUGGGCGCAAGCCUGAUCCAGCAAUGCCGCGUGCAGGAUGAAGGCCUUCGGGUUGUAAACUGCUUUUGUACGGAACGAAAAGGUUCUCUCUAAUACAGGGGGCAUAUGACGGUACCGUAAGAAUAAGCACCGGCUAACUACGUGCCAGCAGCCGCGGUAAUACGUAGGGUGCGAGCGUUAAUCGGAAUUACUGGGCGUAAAGCGUGCGCAGGCGGUUUUGUAAGACAGAGGUGAAAUCCCCGGGCUCAACCUGGGAACUGCCUUUGUGACUGCAAGGCUGGAGUGCGGCAGAGGGGGAUGGAAUUCCGCGUGUAGCAGUGAAAUGCGUAGAUAUGCGGAGGAACACCGAUGGCGAAGGCAAUCCCCUGGGCCUGCACUGACGCUCAUGCACGAAAGCGUGGGGAGCAAACAGGAUUAGAUACCCUGGUAGUCCACGCCCUAAACGAUGUCGACUGGUUGUUGGGGGUUAAUUCACUCAGUAACGAAGCUAACGCGUGAAGUGACC
rnacentral:rRNA from 1 species